rnacentral:antisense_RNA from 1 species
UGUAGGAGUGAGCCUGCUCGCGAUAGCGUUGGGUCAGUGUCAUUUGUGGUGGCUGAUACACCGCUAUCGCGAGCAGGCUCACUCCUACA